rnacentral:rRNA from 1 species
ACGGGUGCGGAACACGUACACAACUUACCUUAAGGUGGGGGAUAGCCCAGGGAAACUUGGAUUAAUACCCCAUAAGACAGGGGGCCCGCAUGGGUCAAUUGUUAAAGAUUUAUUGCCUUAAGAUGGGUGUGCGUCUGAUUAGGUAGUUGGUAGGGUAACGGCCUACCAAGCCGACGAUCAGUAACUGGUGUGAGAGCACGACCAGUCACACGGGCACUGAGACACGGGCCCGACUCCUACGGGAGGCAGCAGUAAGGAAUAUUGGUCAAUGGGCGGAAGCCUGAACCAGCCAUGCCGCGUGGAGGAUGAAGGUCCUCUGGAUUGUAGACUUCUUUUAUCAGGGGCGAAAAAGGGCCAUUCUUGGUCAACUGACGGUACCUGAUGAAUAAGCACCGGCUAACUCCGUGCCAGCAGCCGCGGUAAUACGGAGGGUGCAAGCGUUAUCCGGAUUUACUGGGUUUAAAGGGAGCGUAGGCGGGUAUGUAAGUCAGUGGUGAAAGCCCUCAGCUUAACUGAGGAACUGCCAUUGAUACUAUAUAUCUUGAAUGUUGUGGAGGUUUGCGGAAUAGGUCAUGUAGCGGUGAA